rnacentral:rRNA from 1 species
GUGUCAGCAGCCGCGGUAAGACAGAGGGGGCAAGCGUUGCUCGGAAUCACUGGGCGUAAAGGGCGCGUAGGCGGGAUGGCAAGUCGGUCGUGAAAUCCCUGGGCUCAACUCAGGGGGGUCGGCCGAUACUGCCGUUCUUGAGGGAUGCAGAGGAGACUGGAAUUCCCGGUGUAGCGGUGAAAUGUGUAGAGAUCGGGAGGAACACCGGUGGCGAAGGCGGGUCUCUGGGCAUUCCCUGACGCUGAGGCGCGAAAGCGUGGGGAGCAAACGGGAUUAGAUACCCCCGUAGUCC